GUGCAAGUGAGUGUGAACAAACUUUGUGCAACAGAUGCCAACUAUCUACUGAUGAAUUAUUUUUAGUUUGGCAAAAAUACAAGGGAAAAGGAACGCUUUGUUGAAAAAGCGAAGACCAAAGCCCAAAACAGUGGGAAAUCUAUAACAAGAGAGAUUAUCAAUGUUCUCAAAACUUAAGAUAUCUGCUUGGGUAGCUAAUUGAGCAUAUAGUGGUAUUCAUUCACAAAAUAUUUCCUUUGGGAAUUUUCCUAAUACAUUUGGAGAUGGAAUAUUUCUUUUCACAUAUCAAGAGGAGGCUAUGAAAGAAAGACAAUCAUAAGUGAGAUUCAUUUACAUCUACAAAUAAAUUAUCUGUAACCUGAGCUAAGUAAAAGCUUAACUACAAGAUGAACCAAAGUGACUUUUCAAAAACUUUUGCAGCAAAAAAAGAAAGUGAAAGAGGAACUUAAUUUUUU